rnacentral:rRNA from 1 species
UCUCCGUUGGUGAACCAGCGGAGGGAUCAUUGCUGGAACGCGCUUCGGCGCACCCAGAAACCCUUUGUGAACUUAUACCUAUUGUUGCCUCGGCGUAGGCCGGCUUUUUCUAAAAGCCCCCUGGAAACAGGGAGAAGCCCGCCGGCGGCCAACCAAACUCUUGUUUCUACAGUGAAUCUCUGAGUAAAAAACAUAAAUGAAUCAAAACUUUCAACAACGGAUCUCUUGGUUCUGGCAUCGAUGAAGAACGCAGCGAAAUGCGAUAAGUAAUGUGAAUUGCAGAAUUCAGUGAAUCAUCGAAUCUUUGAACGCACAUUGCGCCCUCUGGUAUUCCGGAGGGCAUGCCUGUUCGAGCGUCAUUUCAACCCUCAAGCCUGGCUUGGUGAUGGGGCACUGCCUGUAAAAGGGCAGGCCCUGAAAUCUAGUGGCGAGCUCGCCAGGACCCCGAGCGUAGUAGUUAUAUCUCGCUCUGGAAGGCCCUGGCGGUGCCCUGCCGUUAAACCCCCAACUUCUGAAAAUUUGACCUCGGAUCAGGUAGGAAUACCCGCUGAACUUAAGCAUA